rnacentral:rRNA from 1 species
GAUGAACGCUGGCGGCGUGCCUAAUACAUGCAAGUCGAGCGAACGGACGAGAAGCUUGCUUCUCUGAUGUUAGCGGCGGACGGGUGAGUAACACGUGGAUAACCUACCUAUAAGACUGGGAUAACUUCGGGAAACCGGAGCUAAUACCGGAUAAUAUUUUGAACCGCAUGGUUCAAAAGUGAAAGACGGUUUUGCUGUCACUUAUAGAUGGAUCCGCGCUGCAUUAGCUAGUUGGUAAGAUAACGGCUUACCAAGGCAACGAUGCAUAUCCGACCUGAGAGGAUGAUCGGCCACACUGGAACUGAGACACGGUCCAGACUCCUACGGGAGGCAGCAGUAGGGAAUCUUCCGCAAUGGGCGAAAGCCUGACGGAGCAACGCCGCGUGAGUGAUGAAGGUCUUCGGAUCGUAAAACUCUGUUAUUAGGGAAGAACAUAUGUGUAAGUAACUGUGCACAUCUUGACGGUACCUAAUCAGAAAGCCACGGCUAACUACGUG